UACGUAGGGCGCAAGCGUUGUCCGGAAUUAUUGGGCGUAAAGAGCUCGUAGGCGGCUUGUCACGUCGGGUGUGAAAUCCCGCGGCUCAACCUCGGGCCUGCAGUGGGUACGGGCAGACUGGAGUGCGGUAGGGGAGAAUGGAAUUCCUGGUGUAGCGGUGGAAUGCGCAGAUAUCAGGAGGAACACCGAUGGCGAAGGCAGUUCUCUGGGCCGUAACUGACGCUGAGGAGCGAAAGCGUGGGGAGCGAACAGG
rnacentral:rRNA from 1 species